AUUGAACGCUGGCGGCAUGCCUUACACAUGCAAGUCGAACGGCAGCGGGGGAGAAGCUUGCUUUUCCUGCCGGCGAGUGGCGAACGGGUGAGUAAUACAUCGGAACGUGCCCUGUAGUGGGGGAUAACUAGUCGAAAGAUUAGCUAAUACCGCAUACGACCUGAGGGUGAAAGUGGGGGACCGCAAGGCCUCAUGCUAUAGGAGCGGCCGAUGUCUGAUUAGCUAGUUGGUGGGGUAAAGGCCUACCAAGGCGACGAUCAGUAGCUGGUCUGAGAGGACGAUCAGCCACACUGGGACUGAGACACGGCCCAGACUCCUACGGGAGGCAGCAGUGGGGAAUUUCGGACAAUGGGCGAAAGCCUGAUCCAGCAAUGCCGCGUGUGUGAAGAAGGCCUUCGGGUUGUAAAGCACUUUUGUCCGGAAAGAAAUGGCUCUGGUUAAUACCUGGGGUCGAUGACGGUACCGGAAGAAUAAGGACCGGCUAACUACGUGCCAGCCGCCGCGGUAAGAC
rnacentral:rRNA from 1 species